GUGCUUGCUUCAGCAGCCCAAAUAUUAAAAUUAAAACUAUACAGAGAAGAUGGCCCCUGCACAAGGAUGACACACAAAUUUGUGAUGUGUUCCAUAUUUUU
rnacentral:snRNA from 1 species